ACGAACGCUGGCGGCGUGCUUAACACCUGCAAGUCGAACGGAAAGGCCCCUUUGGGGGUACUCGAGUGGCGAACGGGUGAGUAACACGUGAGUAACCUGCCCUUGACUUCGGGAUAACUUCAGGAAACUGGGGCUAAUACCGGAUAGGAAUCCUUGCUGCAUAGUGGGGGUUGGAAAGCUUCGGCGGUUUUGGAUGGACUCGCGGCUUAUCAGCUUGUUGGUGGGGUAGUGGCUUACCAAGGCUUUGACGGGUAGCCGGCCUGAGAGGGCGACCGGCCACAUUGGGACUGAGAUACGGCCCAGACUCCUACGGGAGGCAGCAGUGGGGAAUAUUGCACAAUGGGCGGAAGCCUGAUGCAGCAACGCCGCGUGCGGGAUGACGGCCUUCGGGUUGUAAACCGCUUUCAGCAGGGGCGAAGCUUGUGGUGACGGUACCUGCAGAAGAAGCACCGGCUAACUACGUG
rnacentral:rRNA from 1 species